rnacentral:rRNA from 1 species
GGGUUGUGAGGUUAAGCGACUAAGCGUACACGGUGGAUGCCCUGGCAGUCAGAGGCGAUGAAGGACGUGCUAAUCUGCGAUAAGCGUCGGUAAGGUGAUAUGAACCGUUAUAACCGGCGAUUUCCGAAUGGGGAAACCCAGUGUGAUUCGUCACACUAUCAUUAACUGAAUCCAUAGGUUAAUGAGGCGAACCGGGGGAACUGAAACAUCUAAGUACCCCGAGGAAAAGAAAUCAACCGAGAUUCCCCCAGUAGCGGCGAGCGAACGGGGAGCAGCCCAGAGCCUGAAUCAGUGUGUGUGUUAGUGGAAGCGUCUGGAAAGGCGCGCGAUACAGGGUGACAGCCCCGUACACAAAAAUGCACAUGCUGUGAGCUCGAUGAGUAGGGCGGGACACGUGGUAUCCUGUCUGAAUAUGGGGGGACCAUCCUCCAAGGCUAAAUACUCCUGACUGACCGAUAGUGAACCAGUACCGUGAGGGAAAGGCGAAAAGAACCCCGGCGAGGGGAGUGAAAAAGAACCUGAAACCGUGUACGUACAAGCAGUGGGAGCACGCUUAGGCGUGUGACUGCGUACCUUUUGUAUAAUGGGUCAGCGACUUAUAUUCUGUAGCAAGGUUAACCGAAUAGGGGAGCCGAAGGGAAACCGAGUCUUAACUGGGCGUUAAGUUGCAGGGUAUAGACCCGAAACCCGGUGAUCUAGCCAUGGGCAGGUUGAAGGUUGGGUAACACUAACUGGAGGACCGAACCGACUAAUGUUGAAAAAUUAGCGGAUGACUUGUGGCUGGGGGUGAAAGGCCAAUCAAACCGGGAGAUAGCUGGUUCUCCCCGAAAGCUAUUUAGGUAGCGCCUCGUGAAUUCAUCUCCGGGGGUAGAGCACUGUUUCGGCAAGGGGGUCAUCCCGACUUACCAACCCGAUGCAAACUGCGAAUACCGGAGAAUGUUAUCACGGGAGACACACGGCGGGUGCUAACGUCCGUCGUGAAGAGGGAAACAACCCAGACCGCCAGCUAAGGUCCCAAAGUCAUGGUUAAGUGGGAAACGAUGUGGGAAGGCCCAGACAGCCAGGAUGUUGGCUUAGAAGCAGCCAUCAUUUAAAGAAAGCGUAAUAGCUCACUGGUCGAGUCGGCCUGCGCGGAAGAUGUAACGGGGCUAAACCAUGCACCGAAGCUGCGGCAGCGACGCUUAUGCGUUGUUGGGUAGGGGAGCGUUCUGUAAGCCUGUGAAGGUGUGCUGUGAGGCAUGCUGGAGGUAUCAGAAGUGCGAAUGCUGACAUAAGUAACGAUAAAGCGGGUGAAAAGCCCGCUCGCCGGAAGACCAAGGGUUCCUGUCCAACGUUAAUCGGGGCAGGGUGAGUCGACCCCUAAGGCGAGGCCGAAAGGCGUAGUCGAUGGGAAACAGGUUAAUAUUCCUGUACUUGGUGUUACUGCGAAGGGGGGACGGAGAAGGCUAUGUUGGCCGGGCGACGGUUGUCCCGGUUUAAGCGUGUAGGCUGGUUUUCCAGGCAAAUCCGGAAAAUCAAGGCUGAGGCGUGAUGACGAGGCACUACGGUGCUGAAGCAACAAAUGCCCUGCUUCCAGGAAAAGCCUCUAAGCAUCAGGUAACAUCAAAUCGUACCCCAAACCGACACAGGUGGUCAGGUAGAGAAUACCAAGGCGCUUGAGAGAACUCGGGUGAAGGAACUAGGCAAAAUGGUGCCGUAACUUCGGGAGAAGGCACGCUGAUAUGUAGGUGAAGUCCCUUGCGGAUGGAGCUGAAAUCAGUCGAAGAUACCAGCUGGCUGCAACUGUUUAUUAAAAACACAGCACUGUGCAAACACGAAAGUGGACGUAUACGGUGUGACGCCUGCCCGGUGCCGGAAGGUUAAUUGAUGGGGUUAGCGCAAGCGAAGCUCUUGAUCGAAGCCCCGGUAAACGGCGGCCGUAACUAUAACGGUCCUAAGGUAGCGAAAUUCCUUGUCGGGUAAGUUCCGACCUGCACGAAUGGCGUAAUGAUGGCCAGGCUGUCUCCACCCGAGACUCAGUGAAAUUGAACUCGCUGUGAAGAUGCAGUGUACCCGCGGCAAGACGGAAAGACCCCGUGAACCUUUACUAUAGCUUGACACUGAACAUUGAGCCUUGAUGUGUAGGAUAGGUGGGAGGCUUGGAAGUGUGGACGCCAGUCUGCAUGGAGCCGACCUUGAAAUACCACCCUUUAAUGUUUGAUGUUCUAACGUUGACCCGUAAUCCGGGUUGCGGACAGUGUCUGGUGGGUAGUUUGACUGGGGCGGUCUCCUCCUAAAGAGUAACGGAGGAGCACGAAGGUUGGCUAAUCCUGGUCGGACAUCAGGAGGUUAGUGCAAUGGCAUAAGCCAGCUUGACUGCGAGCGUGACGGCGCGAGCAGGUGCGAAAGCAGGUCAUAGUGAUCCGGUGGUUCUGAAUGGAAGGGCCAUCGCUCAACGGAUAAAAGGUACUCCGGGGAUAACAGGCUGAUACCGCCCAAGAGUUCAUAUCGACGGCGGUGUUUGGCACCUCGAUGUCGGCUCAUCACAUCCUGGGGCUGAAGUAGGUCCCAAGGGUAUGGCUGUUCGCCAUUUAAAGUGGUACGCGAGCUGGGUUUAGAACGUCGUGAGACAGUUCGGUCCCUAUCUGCCGUGGGCGCUGGAGAACUGAGGGGGGCUGCUCCUAGUACGAGAGGACCGGAGUGGACGCAUCACUGGUGUUCGGGUUGUCAUGCCAAUGGCACUGCCCGGUAGCUAAAUGCGGAAGAGAUAAGUGCUGAAAGCAUCUAAGCACGAAACUUGCCCCGAGAUGAGUUCUCCCUGACCCUUUAAGGGUCCUGAAGGAACGUUGAAGACGACGACGUUGAUAGGCCGGGUGUGUAAGCGCAGCGAUGCGUUGAGCUAACCGGUACUAAUGAACCGUGAGGCUUAACCUUACAACGCCGAAGGUGUUU